rnacentral:lncRNA from 1 species
CAAACCUGGAACCUCUCAGGGAAAGGAGUGCUAGGAAGUGGCUCCAAGUCUCAGAUGGGACUCCUGGGGGUGCCACGUUGAUAACAGGUUAUAUGUAUUUUGAAACAGGAAAUCUCGCCAUCCUCACCAAAGCCAUUUCCUUGAGAGGAUUUUAUCUGGUUUGUCUCCUUGACUCCAGGCAGGGCUCCAUUCCAACCAGAUGGAAGAAUGCAGACAUCUCACAUCAUUUACACCCAGAAGGCUGUCAGCAGCAGCGCUCAGGGAGUGAGAGUGUUUAAUCUCGAGGAGGAAAUAGAAUGUAUACACACCCUGCAAACUGAGAUGUUUUACGUUGGCUCUGGCUCCUACCGCCCCCCAUGUGUGGCAGCAGCUACCAAGACUCUACUGUGAAUCCCCAUGACUGCAAUGAGAAUGAACAAAAUGAACAACCUGCAGCAACAUGAAUGGACCUCACAAGGAUAAUGUUGAACAUAAGAAGCCAGGCACAA